CGGAGAGGGUGUGAGCAAGCGGGAAUUUCAGGCUGGAUGCACAACCCCAGCUGCAGCGACCGCUCUGACUCAGCGGGAGGUGGCGGUGGGGUCUGAAGGUGCACGUGGUGCCUGGUGCCGGCAGCCAGCCGGCAGUUCCAUGCUGAGGCCUGGUCUGUAGCUUCCACUACCAGGCCAGAGUUGGGGGCGAACUACUGACCGGUCUGAAGCUCUUCUUUCACAGACUCUAAACGCAAAGUGGACAUAAGGUCGACGGAAAAUAAACAGCUUGAUAGAAAAGGAAAAAAAAUCUAGAAUCUUCGCUCUAAAGAAGAGAAAAUAGACGGUAAUUCUCUGGAUAUAGGCUCUGUAGGGUAUGCUGUCAAAUUUUAAAUUCUUAUCUUCAUAAUCAUGAUUGUGAACAGCCUAAAGAAAGCGUGCAAUACAUGUCUGAUAAAGUGAAGAGGUUUGUGUUUUGUUGGAGCAUGUGAUUCUGCAUACUUGUACUGAAGAUGGCAGUGAAUUUGUGGAAGCAUAUUGCAGAUAACAUGAGAUUAACUAUUUAUUUCAACACACAGUGUCAGAAUCCAACCUGUAACACAUACAGUACGAGUUAAAUUCCAGAGGGAGAUCAAUGAUGAAAGGAUCUGAAUGUUAUUCUGGUCAUGAUCAGCCAGCUAUAAUUGUGUAUGAGGGCUACACAUGAGAGAAAAGUAGAGCAAGAAGACAGAGGGACUCUGCAUCUGUGGAAAAUUUUUGGAGAAGCAGCCUAAUUCUUUCUGGACCAUUCACCAACCCUGAACUGUUAUGGCUAGUGUACUAAGAAGAGUCUCAUAUGGUAGACUAUUUACUAAAGAGGCUGCCACCAAGGUUAGAAUCAUAAAAUAAUUUCAAAUUCCAUUUGCUAAUAAUGGAGAGAAGUAAUGAUAUUCUGCUGAACUGUGUUUCCAUGGAAUUUUCACAGUGGAGAGUCCUGUGUUGGUGUCAGUACAGUCAUCACCAGGAGCUAGGAAGAGGUCAUCUCUGACAGGUUCAAAGCCAUUUCCAGGCGUGGGUGCUGGUUUGGGGACUUCCAAGCCCUUGGAUGACAAAGAGGCUACACCUGGAGGUGCUGGCUUUGGUAUCCAGUUUUAUAGAAGCUUUUUCCAGAAUCCUAUGCCCUUGAAUGCAGUGAAGUGUCUAGCUAGUUUUUCGUUUACAUCUGGAACAUGAUUAUUGCUACAAAUAUGGCUAAAGAAGCAACAUUCAACACUGCAGCAAGUAUCAUGUGGCCCAAGAUGCAGAUGUUAUAAGUCAAUGCAAAGGGGAAAGACACUUGGAUGACCAGAUCGCGUUUGUGUAAAUAAGGCAGAGCCUUCAGUGACUUGUGACCACAUGGAGAUGCCUUGACGAUAGCUGUGGUCUAUAUAACAGUACUUCAACGGUGAAAAAAAUUUCAUGCUGGAAAGCAGAAGAUACUUUUCUCGUACUUUCUCUGUCAUUAUGUUGAGAUAGAACUUUAAAAUUACUUAACAUCUUCAGGCAUUGCUGCCCUCAUCUGUGUGUCAAAUGUGUCACACUACAUUAUAACUAAUGCCUAUUUUUUCUCUAAAACUAUAUUUCUGGUACAGUGAGUUUAGAUAAGGAUUUAGUGUCUGCUUUUGUGUCUACAUUGAAAAACAAAAAAAAAACAAAAAGCAAGUAGUUAAUUCAGUACAAACAGCCAAAUCUUGUAUACACAGCCGGAAUGGGAUGUGCAUUCCAGGAACAGGUUUUGAUAGGCUGGGUACGGCUAUCCCAUAUAAUAAGAUAGUUCAAGGCUUCAAAUUUAAGCAUCUCUGGUGGGAAGAUCCAAGUAUCACAAAUCACAUACAUCUUGACCUUAUGAGAGGAGGAGGUGGAGGUUGGAAAACAAACUAAAGUGGCUCUACAGGUCAGGAGGCAUUACUAAGUCAUUUUCUGCAAUGGCCAUCAGAAAUUGCUAGGCAAAGUUCCUGUUGUACUUGAACAGAGCUCCUAGCAUAAUGUCUGGAGAUUUAAAAUGGAAAUAUACCAGUCAUUAUGAAUGAAUAACAGCUAUGCUAAAAUCACUCACAGCACAUUUUUCUUGAGCUGUCAGUAGGAACAAUCAUCAACAUUAUUUUAUUUGUCUUCAGAAUCUCUGCCUUACUAAAUUCUUAUUAUUAACUAGUAAAGUACUAACGAUUUGAGUUAAAUGCCGUAGGCAACUCAAAGUCAUUUGUAUCUAUUGUAUAUCUCAAUGACAGGGAUGUCAACAACCUUGAUUUCUUCCCUUAACCUAUGGAGCAACAAGAACAAUCUAUUUGAUUCACUUAAAGGCACUUGCAGAUUUGUCCGUUCUUCAGCAAACUACAAGCAGCAUGUAAGGUCUCCUCAUUUAUUCACAGCUUUCUUUCGCAUUGCAUGAACGAUCUCAUUUAAAACCACAGAGAAUCUAUUGCUAGAAUAGAUACUAGAAUAGGUGAUUAUUCUUAAAAUACAGAUUUUGGUCAUCAGCAGAUUUAAAGUAAAUGGUGUGCAUGGGCAGGAGAUUGAUGACAAGAUUUAGGUCAUGAGUUUCUACAUGUGAGUUUUAAUAUUUAGUGCAGAAUUUCCUCUCUCCAGGUAAAAGUCUGUUGCUUUUGUAAUCUUCGUUUGUUUAUUUAUUUUAGUUCUCCUCCACAGAGUGCAAUGACAUACCAUCUUCUGUCUGGUUUCUCAAAAUGAAAGUAGAUUUAUUUAGUCUUUUUCAUUAGAAUACUUCAUGUUAUUUAUAGUUAAUAUUAUCUUUAAGGUACAAAAGGAUUUCUAUCUUAUUUUUGUUUUCUGGAUUCAAUUUUAGUGGGCUUUUCUUGAAAUUCAGUCAGUAAAUGCCUUGGGAAUCCGAAGACAGUUGGGAGAAAAUCAAAGAAAUAGAUAUAUUUUCUUUUCUCAAGCAAACUUUGCAAACUUAUGGAGAUCUAUUUAUCUAAUAGGGAUGUAGAAUGAUAGACAUACAUGCACACAUACCUAUAAAUUCUCUGUAAUAUAUAUUAUAACAACAUCACAAAUAUACUGGCCAAAAGAGACAUCAUGUUCCUCAAGAUUUAUAUUUCAGAGUCCUGACUUCACCAUUCACGAGCUGUAUGAGCAUGAGAGAGUCGCUAUAUUCCUCAGUUUCCCCCUCUGUAAAUGGGGACUCUGUUGCUACUUACGGGAUGAUAGAAUUGAAUAAAACAGGAGUGAAACAGCUAAUGUAGUGUUUGAAUAUAGUAACUCUUCUCUCAGUUACAAUUAGUAUACAUAAUCUAUAUGUGAGAUGAGAGCAACAUGAGUUCAAAGUUAACACCAAUUACUUUAGAUUGGCCCUGGGAGAAAUCAGGGAGGAAGCACAUUCAGAUUUUGAUUCUCAGGCACUAGAAUAGGGCACAUCCUUUUUUUGCCAAGUGACAAGAAUGAAGAAGGAAAAAUAAGCAAAAGUUGAAUGAGGCAUGGUGUAAAUUACUCCACCCACAUCCUAAAUACCCACCUAAGGCAUAUGCGACAGGCCCUGAGGUGACCACUCAAAAGAGCCCUCGGGGUUACCAGAACACACCAAACUUUAAUCACAUUUCCAAGAUCUCUUGGCUCAUCCAGGGGCUGUAGGGCUCAAAUGCUAAUGGCUUCACAAUCCUCUUCUCUGACGGUUUGUUUCAAAUAUACAUGUCUGCUAACACCUACCCUUCCCAGUAGCCUCUCUGGUAGAAUGCCUCAUGAGUCCUUUUCCUUCCUCCCAUCUUGAGCCAGCUUGCUUUGCACGUGUUCAUUGUGUGCUUCUGUAGCAACCUGAUCUUUCCUAUGACAGCACUUAUUACCAUGCACUGUGUUUUUCAACUUACAUUUUGUUUCUCCAAUAAACUGUAAUCUCCUUGUAGCCAAGGAUAAUAUUUUGUCAUCAUAGUGCAUACCUAACACAUGGUUAGUUCUUAAUAUUUGUGUAAAGAAAUGGCGUCUCCACUUUCUCAUCAUUUAAGUUGGUAUUACAUUCCUCUGUGAAUGCUAACAUCCCUUAGUUUUAACAUCCUAAUAAGAUACUAGUCACAGUCAUAAUAGUAUCUUGAAUUAAUGUAGACAUUCUUUUGGUUUUACUUUUCAAAAAUGCAAUCACAGCUAAAAUCUGUGCUCCUGCAACAUGGCUUAUUAUAAUGAAAAGUGGAAAAAAAAUCUCUAGAAGAUUUAAGAAGACUGGGGACACAUUAGAAACUUUUAAAUUACUUUCUGUCUCAGAUUCUAAGAACAUGUAUUUUAUUACUUUAACACUGCUGAUAUUUGAAGCUAAUUCCGCAGAUAUGGAUGAUAUACAUGACAUCGUUUUCUGUAUUAUCUACUGAAAACACAAAAUGUCCCUUGGUUUUCAGAAGCAGAAUAAGGGAAAUUACACUAAUUAUCCUAAAGGGUAAGUACUUGCUUCUCAUUUAUUGGGUUUGCUUCAUGUUACAUAUGUUAUAUUUGGAAUAAAGGCAAGAAUCUUAACUUGGAGGCAUGUCUGUGAUUGAUACAAAAAUAGAAGUUCACAUUACCCUUCAGAAAGUAUUUAAAUCUUGUGUAUACAGAAAAUUCUUCCCAGAUCAAACAGAAAAUAUAUACAUUUUUUUAAAAGUUUAUUUAUUUAUUUUGCGAGGGAAUGUCAGAGAGAAGAGAGAGAAUCCCAUGCAGGCCCGCACUGACAGUGUGGAGCCCCAUGCGGGGCUCGAACUCACGACCCUUGAGAUCAUGACCUGAGCCAAAGGUUGGAUGCUUAACCGACUGAGCCCCCUAGGGACCCCCAAGCAAAAUAUUCUUACUCAGACAUUAUAUCAAAUGUUUACAAAUAAUAUCAAUGUGUUUAUUUAAACUCUAUGUUCUUGAAAGUAUUUAAAUAUGUUACAUUACAUAUAUGUCUCCCCAUAUAUGUAAUAAGUGUGUUCUAAUAUUGUGGAAAUAAUAGGAGGUGCCCAAAGAAUUUUAAAGUGUAUUUUUAAUAAUCCAGAGCAGCAGUGUCCAAAAGAAAUGUAAUGGGAGCCAUAAAUAAUUUUAAAUUUUCUAGGAGCCACAUUUUAAAAAGUAAAAAUAAUCAAGUGGAAUAAUACAUUAUCAUUCCAAAAGUGAACAAUAAAAAUAUUUAUGUAUAUCAUAAAUUCCUUUUUUCAUACUAACUAGUUGAAAUCCAGCGUGCAUUUUAUCCUUACAGUACAUCUCAAUUCAGACAAGCCUCAUUUCAAGUGUUUAAAACUACAUGUAGCUAGUGGCUACUAUAUUGGACCAUGUAAUUCUACAGUACAAUGCUAUAUAUAUCAAUAUAGUAGCAGUGCACUACCUAUUUUCCAAAUAUCUAUCAUGUGUCUGUCUAUAUACUAAAGUAUAUACAGUGGAAGUAUUAAAAGUGACAUUAAGAAAUCAUAUUUUCAGAAGGAAGUGUUAUCAGUGACAUUGGAAAUUUUAAGGUUUCCAAGUGGAUUUUCUUUAUAGAAACAUCCAAGCUGAAGGAGAACACACUAAUCUAUUAAAUAUUAAAGUAAUAAUACUUAUAAUUAUGGUUAUAAUAUAACUUAUGUUAAGAUUUAUAGUUUUGGCCCCUUACUAUACCAGUAUUUUUACAACAUCAUCAAACCCUUCUAUAAUAUAUGAAAUUCACACUGGAUGAACAUGUGGAAAUAUGGUAUCCAGAUACAACUAUCAUCUGUCAUCCCACCAACUGGUUUGGUUGAUAUAAUUAUGUCUUCGGAAAAGCUGCCAUUCUUUUCCUUUCUCAUUGGCUCAGGAAAAUAGUACUUGCUUAAGGCGAAGAUAUUUUACAGUUAAAAUGGGAAAUAUGUUUUUACUCAAAGAUUUAAUAUCAAAUGUUUACGUAAAAUAAUAAUGUGGGUUUUUUUACAGUGCGUUUUUUUAAAGUAUUUAAAUAUGCUACAAAAUUCAGAAGAAUUACUGGCUUCAUACUGAAGACAGUGUUUAUUCAAAUGCCAUAACACACACUGAUAAAUCUGUAAACACUAAAAUGAUUUAUGUAUUGAGAAGUACUGUCCAGUUCAGUAGUCAUUAGCCACAUGUGCCUAAUUUAGAUGUAGCUAAUGUGACUGAUAACCUGAUUUUUUAUUUUAAGUAACUUGAAUGCAAUUUUCCCUAGCUUUAUUGAGAUAUAGUUGACAAAUAACACUGUGUAACUUUAAGGUAUACAGUGUGAGGAUUUAAUACAUACACAUAUCACAAAAUUAUGAUCACAAUAUGGUUAGUUUAUGCCUUUAUCAC